rnacentral:rRNA from 1 species
UACAGAGGUCCCGAGCGUUGUUCGGAUUCACUGGGCGUAAAGGGUGCGCAGGUGGUUUGGCAAGUUUGAUGUGAAAGCCCCGGGCUUAACCCGGGAAUGGCAUUGAAUACUGUUUGAACUGGAGGAUUGGAGGGGGGACUGGAAUUCUUGGUGUAGCAGUGAAAUGCGUAGAUAUCAAGAGGAACACCAGUGGCGAAGGCGAGUCCCUGGACAAUACCUGACACUGAGGCACGAAAGCCAAGGGAGCAAACAGG